CAUAACAAAACGUGAAAAAAAUAAAGGGGUAUGAAUACUUUCACAAGGCACUGUAUACACUAUAGAAUCUAGAUAGCUACACUGGUUAAUUAAAACAGCCCUUAGUACAGUCCGUGCCGUUCAGCCUGAGCUCGGGCCAAGCACAUAUUUGCUCAUGUGAAGAGAAUGAUUUUUCAUGUGAAGAAGACUUUUUUGGAAAGUGGGUUAAGUACAAAGCCUGGUUACAUAGGCCUAAUAAAUAAUAGUCUGUUGCAUUCAAAUUCAAAUAGCCAACAUUGUGAAUAUGGAAACAUUUGGAUUCUGAGAGUUGGAGAUUUC